AUAAAGAUAAGCUAAAUUAAGCUGAUAGGUUCAUACCCUAUUUAUAGAAGCAUAAACCUUCUUCUUUUUA
rnacentral:tRNA from 1 species